UAGUCAUAGGCUUGCCUAAAAGAUUAACCCUUGCUUGUCUCAUUUAAAGCUUUAAUCCGGUGAAACUGCUAAUGGCUCGUUGAACCAGUUAUAUUUUAUUUGAUGGCCCCUCUUCCAUGGAUAACGGUGGUAAUUCUAGAGCUAAUACAGGCACCAAAACCCGACUUCGGAGGGGUUGUGUUUAUUACAUACAAAACCAUCCCAUGCUCCCCAUGGUUUUGUGGUGACUCAAAAUAACUCGACCAAUCCUAUGGCUUCUCUGACGAUCCUUCCUUCAAGUGUACGGACCUACCGCGCUUCCAACGGUAGGGUAUUGGCCUACCGAGUCAAUGACGGGUAACGGAGAAUUUGGGUUGGAUUCCGAAAAGGGAGCCAGAAAAACGCCUACCACUUCUAAGGAUGGCAGUAGGCGCGCAAAUAACCCAAUCCUGACCCAGGGAGGAAGGGACAAAAAAUAACAUUACAGGGCAAUACCGCGUU
rnacentral:rRNA from 1 species